rnacentral:tRNA from 1 species
GAGAUAUUAGUAAAAAUUACGUGACUUUGUCAAAGUUAAAUUAUAGGUGAGAAUCCUUUAUAUCUC